rnacentral:misc_RNA from 1 species
GAUGAAGAACGUAGCGAAACGCGAUAAGUAAUGUGAAUUGCAGAAUUUAGUGAAUCAUCGAACUUUUGAACGCACAUUGCGCCCGGCGGCACUCCGCCGGGCAUGUCUGUCCGAGCGUCAUUAUACUGCCCUCGACCCUCCGGGUCGGUGUUGGGAGCCUCUGCGCCCGUACGCAGCUCCCCAAGUCCACUGGCGUCGCGCCACGGUGCCCCUGCGUAGUAAUCUCACCUCGCUUGGGACCCUGGGUGCCGGCUGCCCUUCUCUCUCGCAGCAGGCUCUCUCGAGUCGGCUCCAGCACAGUUGACCUCGGAUCAGGUAGGGUUACCCGCUGAACUUAAGCAUAUCAAUAAGCGGAGGA